UGCCUUUUAGAAACUAAAACCAAAACUAAACAGUAUUUCUCAAGGAGGGCCCUCUGCCAACAAAUUGGGGGCAUCUUUGGUGUUUCCCGAUUUAUACUUUGGGAAUCCACCCUUCUUGCUCCCACUGGAUGGCCAAAUCUGCUAGCAUCCCGUACUGUGGGACAAGCCAUGACUAGCCCCUCUGCAGCCCAUCCCUUGGCUGGAUGGAGCCUGGUGGGUGGAAGGGUUUUUCUCCCUAUUGCCUCAUGCCUCUCCCUCCUUCACAGACUGGUUUUGUGCCCUUAGGAUCCUGCUGCCAUACUGUGCCAAGCGGGAAUCUGAAGAAUCAUGGGGCUACUGCCAGUGAGCUACCUUUCUUAUGAAGAUAUUUGCAUUUUUACAGGAGUCAUGGGGAGAAAAUAUCUUAUGCCAGAGGGAGAGCUUGAAUCAUGGAAAUUUUAGACUUUGGAAGAAGCCAACACGGUGAGGUUUGAGGACAUAUAGAGCCUCAUGUACACAUCAGAUCACACUGUAUGAAGCACAGCAAGGGGACAUGAACUCUUAUAACAGUAAUGGUUUGGGCACUGUUGUCUAUGGACAGUUUUCUUAGAUGGAAAGAGCUGAGAGAUGGAUAGGGCCACGGGGUAAAGUGGGAAAAGAAAGAGAGGAAGAGGAUAUUGAUAAAAAUCAUGUACAAUAUAGAAGCACACAGAGUAAGUGACAUCUAAGCGGGGGAGAGGACUUAUAGGUUGUGUUCUUCCUGGAAGUUUUUCUCUUCCCAACAAAAUCUAGGAGAGUCCACAAACCAUUCUACCAAAGCAGGGAAAGUGGGAAAAGACAAUCCUAAGAAGCUACAAGCAGACAUUUUGAAGAACUUGAGAAAAGACCCUCCUUCUGAAAACACAAUAUUUGCCCAAAUCUGUGCAGUAGCACAUAGAAACAAAAAUAGCUGCAGACAGGAAAACACACUUGGAUAAAAAAGAAAAAGCCUUGAAAAUCCUGAACUAUGAACAAAUACAGGCACAUUCUCUGAAAUUUGACUCAUCUUUUUAAUAAGGAUCUGACUUAUUCAGUAUGAAUUGUGGUGGAACGUUGGAUAAUAUGGGGAAAAGAGCAUCUUCAGAUAUUACAAAGGAGAUGUAUUUGAGCUGGGUUGACCACCCUUCCCCUGACUGAUGCCCCCACCAAUAGCUGUUUACAACAAAAAUCCUGGCUUCCCGAGUGUGUGUGCAGAGAACACAAGCUGCAGUGCCCCACCUCGCUGGAGUGGUGCCUAAACAAGGCUUAAUUCUGCUUAGAUCUAUCACUUACACCAUUGUUUACUCUGUUAAAAGAGGAAGAAGAAUAAGAUGUGGACCUAUUUGGGUGUCUUAAGGAUUAAACCAAAAGCGCAUCAGCCAUGAAGGGAGCCGGAAGAGAAACCAAGUAAAACUCUAACUUCAUUACUAAAUUGUCCAUUUCUCUGGUGCCAGAGAAAGUGGAUUUUUUGACUAGAGGCAGGGCCCUGCUAGGGUGUCACAUACUGGAGAAUUCCCUGUGGUCUGAGUCCAAAUUACAUGGGACUCUGCAUUUCGUCCAGGAUAUCUGUGAUUUGUCAC